AGAGUUUGAUCCUGGCUCAGAACGAACGCUGGCGGCAGGCUUAACACAUGCAAGUCGAACGCACCGCAAGGUGAGUGGCAGACGGGUGAGUAACGCGUGGGAACGUGCCCUUCAGUUCGGGAUAACCCAGGGAAACUUGGGCUAAUACCGGAUACGUGCGAGAGCAGAAAGAUUCAUCGCUGAAGGAUCGGCCCGCGUCUGAUUAGCUAGUUGGUGGGGUGAUGGCUCACCAAGGCGACGAUCGGUAGCUGGUCUGAGAGGAUGAUCAGCCAGACUGGGACUGCGAGACGGCCCAGACUCCUACGGGAGGCAGCAGUUAGGAAUUUUGGGCAAUGGGCGAGAGCCUGACCCAGCAACGCCGCGUGGGUGACGAAGGCCUUCGGGUCGUAAAGCCCUUUUCCGGGGGACGAUGGUGACGGUACCUCGGGAAGAAGCCCCGGCUAACUACGUGCCAGCAGCCGCGGUAAUACGUAGGGGGCAAGCGUUGUCCGGAUUUAUUGGGCGUAAAGCGCCCGCAGGCGGUCGGCCACAUCGUGCGUGAAAUCUCUCGGCUCAACUGGGAGGGGCCGUGCGAUACGGGUCGGCUGGAGGCAGGUAGGGGGACGCGGAAUUCCGGGUGUAGUGGUGGAAUGCGUAGAGAUCCGGAGGAACACCGGUGGCGAAGGCGGCGUCCUGGACCUGUCCUGACGCUCAGGGGCGAAAGCGUGGGGAGCGAUCCGGAUUAGAUACCCCAGUAGUCC
rnacentral:rRNA from 1 species